AUUGAACGCUGGCGGCAGGCCUAACACAUGCAAGUCGAGCGGAUGAAGGGAGCUUGCUCCUGGAUUCAGCGGCGGACGGGUGAGUAAUGCCUAGGAAUCUGCCUGGUAGUGGGGGAUAACGUCCGGAAACGGGCGCUAAUACCGCAUACGUCCUGAGGGAGAAAGUGGGGGAUCUUCGGACCUCACGCUAUCAGAUGAGCCUAGGUCGGAUUAGCUAGUUGGUGGGGUAAAGGCCUACCAAGGCGACGAUCCGUAACUGUCUGAGAGGAUGAUCAGUCACACUGGAACUGAGACACGGUCCAGACUCCUACGGGAGGCAGCAGUGGGGAAUAUUGGACAAUGGGCGAAAGCCUGAUCCAGCCAUGCCGCGUGUGUGAAGAGGGUCUUCGGAUUGUAAAGCACUUUAAGUUGGGAGGAAGGGCAGUAAGUUAAUACCUUGCUGUUUUGACGUUACCAACAGAAUAAGCACCGGCUAACUUCGUG
rnacentral:rRNA from 1 species